rnacentral:rRNA from 1 species
AGCAGCCGCGGUAAUUCCAGCUCCAAUAGCGUAUAUUAAAGUUGUUGCAGUUAAAAGCUCGUAGUUGAAUUUCGGGAUCAAAUUGUCGGUCGUGCCUCGGUACGUACUGGCGUUAUUGGUUCCUACCUUCUGAAGAACCACGAUGUCAUUAAUUUGGUGUCGCGGGGAAUCAGGACUGUUACUUUGAAAAAAUUAGAGUGUUUAAAGCAGGCUCGCGCUUGAAUACAUUAGCAUGGAAUAAUGAAAUAGGACGUUUGAUUCUAUUUUGUGGUUUCUAGGAUCGACGUAAUGAUUAAUAGGGAUAGUUGGGGGCAUUAGUAUUCAAUUGUCAGAGGUGAAAACUCUUGGAUUUAUUGAAGACUAACUACUGCGAAAAGCAUUUGCCAAGGAUGUUUUCAUUAAUCAAGAACGAAAGUUAGGGAUCGAAGACGAUCAGAUACCGUCGUAGUCUUAACCAUAAACUAUGCCGACUAGGGAUCGGAUGAUGUUAAUUUUUAUGUACUCAUUCGACGCCUUACGG